UUCUGCCUGAGUCUCUUGGAGUGUUUACUUCUUGGAUGCUCCUGCAGGGAAGCUGUUAUUCUGAGAGGAUUUUAAACCAAACAGAGGGGCCAAGCAAAGGGCUUGAUGGUGACUAGUUACAAAGUUGUUGCUUCAGGGAGAGAGGAAAAGAGACGAUGGGCCAUAUUACUAAAAGAAAGGACUGUAGCAGUUCAAGGAGAGGAAUUAGUAAAUAAGCUGAAAAUGUGAAGUCAUGCAAAGAUUUGUUUGAAAAGCAAAACGUUUCAAUAAAAGGUCUUCCUGGAUUAAGAAUCUAAGUAUGAUUUUCAUGAACCACCACCACUAAAGAUCAGAUAAUAUUAUUCAUGCUGCAA
rnacentral:lncRNA from 1 species